CCCAGAAGUGGAAAAUGCAAUGCAUUUUAUCUCGGAUCAAAAAUCGCUCCUAAUGGGAAUGUAUGGUACGACGUCCCAGUCGGGGUACAUCAACUGCAAUAGAUUGUGGCCAAAAUGUUAAAGAGGCAGGAUUACAAAUCUCUCUUCGGGCUACUGCCGCUACACGCCUAUAUGCUGCGGGUGUUGACGAGCAACUUAUAGCGGAAAAAAGUGGUUACAUGUCAUCUGUGAUUCGCAACUACAAACGCACCUCCGAGGAACAAUUACAGAGUGUAAGUGAUUUGAUUCAGAAACCGCCCAGUGUCCCCGCCGGAGCCGAAGAAAGAAAUAAACAUCACUGCCGGGGAUGUAACAGUGAAUUUGCGAUUUUAAUGUGCAUGUGUUUAAAUGAAUGAUUGUGACAUGGAUUUAUAACUGUGGUGCCUGAACGAUUUCAUACACGGUAAAAUCGGAUUAUACAUGAAACACUCAUUUCGUAUAAUUUACUGGAAUAUUUCACGCCUUGAAUAUUGUAUUUGA